rnacentral:rRNA from 1 species
UCUGUUGUCUCUUUUCCGGAAAGUGCUUGUCUCAAAGGUUAAGCCAUGCAUGUGUAAGUAUGAACAAAUUCAGACUGUGAAACUGCAAAUGGCUCAUUAAAUCAGUAAUAGUUUGUUUGAUGGUACCUACUACUCGGAUAACCGUAGUAAAUCUAGAGCUAAUACGUGCAACAAGUCCCAACUCUUGGAAGGGAUGCAUUUAUUAGAUAAAAGGUCAAUGCGGGUUUUUCCUGUUUUUACGAUGAUUCAUGAUAACUUGACGGAUCGCAAGGCCAUAGUGCUAGCGACGCAUCAUUCAAAUUUCUGCCCUAUCAACUUUCGAUGGUAGGAUAGUGGCCUACUAUGGUGGUGACGGGUGACGGAGAAUUAGGGUUCGAUUCCAGAGAGGGAGCUUGAGAAACGGCUACCACAUCCAAGGAAGGCAGCAGGCGCGCAAAUUACGCAAUCUUGACACGGGGAGGUAGUGACAAUAAAUAACAAUACUGGGCUCAUUCGAGUCUGGUGAUUGGAAUGAGUACAAUCCAAAUCCCUCAACGAGGAUCCAUUGGAGGCCAAGUCUGGUGCCAGCAACCACGGUAAUUCCAGCUCCAAUAGCGUAUAUUUAAGUUGUUGCAGUUAAAAAGCUCGUAGUUGGACUUUGAGAUGGGUUUGCCGGUCCGCCUCAUGGUGUGCAUCGUUGAACUUUUCUCUAUUGCUGGUGAUGUUCUCCUGGUCUUAAUUGGUCGGGUCAUGCCUCCAGUGCUGUUACUUUGAAGAAAUUAGAGUGCUCAAAGCAAGCCUACGCUCUGUAUACAUUAGCAUGGGAUAACAUUAUAGGAUUUCGGUCCUAUUACGUUGGCCUUCGGGAUCAGAGUAAUGAUUAACAGGGACAGUCGGGGGCAUUUGUAUAUCAUAGUCAGAGGUGAAAUUCUUGGAAUUAUGAAAGACGAACAACUGCGAAAUCAUUUGCCAAGGAUGUUUUCAUUAAUCAAGAACAAAAGUUGGGGGCUCGAAGAUGAUCAGAUACCAUCCUAGUCUCAACCAUAAACGAUGCCGACUAGGGAUCGGUGGAUGUUGCUUUUAGGACUCUACCGGCACCUUAUGAGAAAUCAAAGUCUUUGGGUUCUGGGGGGAGUAUGGUCGCAAGGCUGAAACUUAAAGGAAUUGACGGAAGGGCACAACCAGGAGUGGAGCCUGCGGCUUAAUUUGACUCAACACGGGGAAACUUACCAGGUCCAGACAUAGUAAGGAUUGACAGAUUGAGAGCUCUUUCAAGGUAACAUGUAAAUUAUUAUUACCCGUAAUCAAAUGAAUACAAGAAUGUCAAAUGCUUAACCACAAGAUGGUUACUUGGAUUAGUGCAUAAAAAUACAACCUAAACACCUAUACAAAACAGAAAUUUACAAUUCAAAAUGCCCCUACACGAACAAAAAUAGUAGGCCAUACACUUAGCAAUUGAUCCACUAAGAUCUAAACAGAUAACCCAUUACCAACACAACAAAGAAGAUUACAAACAGAACGAAACAAGAUUCAAAUCCAAACUCAAUUGUUGCAGCGCGUUCUACAUUCCACUUGAGUCAAGCAAGGCAGUGGUUAGCUUCAGUAUUAUCAUGUAUAGCCAAUCUCUGCAAACAGGUUCAGAAGAUCAAGACCCCCCUUUCACAAACAAAAGGGCAAAGGUCUGAACCCAUGAAGUAGAUAGUCUACACAAGAACGGCUACCUGCCACCCAAGAGCCAAGUUGACAG